rnacentral:rRNA from 1 species
AGUGAACGCUGGCGGUAGGCCUAACACAUGCAAGUCGAACGGCAGCACAGGAGAGCUUGCUCUGGGUGGCGAGUGGCGGACGGGUGAGGAAUACAUCGGAAUCUACUCUGUCGUGGGGGAUAACGUAGGGAAACUUACGCUAAUACCGCAUACGACCUACGGGUGAAAGCAGGGGACCUUCGGGCCUUGCGCGAUUGAAUGAGCCGAUGUCGGAUUAGCUAGUUGGCGGGGUAAAGGCCCACCAAGGCGACGACCCGUAGCUGGUCUGAGAGGAUGAUCAGCCACACUGGAACUGAGACACGGUCCAGACUCCUACGGGAGGCAGCAGUGGGGAAUAUUGGACAAUGGGCGCAAGCCUGAUCCAGCCAUACCGCGUGGGUGAAGAAGGCCUUCGGGUUGUAAAGCCCUUUUGUUGGGAAAGAAAUCCAGCUGGCUAAUACCCGGUUGGGAUGACGGUACCCAAAGAAUAAGCACCGGCUAACUUCGUGCCAGCCGCCGCGGUAA